AAGGAGCGAGGUGGUGACUGGCAGCAAAUAGCACGGCUGCAAGACUGAGUCUCCUUCAAAGAGAUACAAUGGGAGAAUGUUCCGGAGUUCACAGUGUGGCAUCUGCAUGGUGCGGAAAGCCUUGAGACUGGAUCAGAGACGAAGAAGAAACCAUGAGGGGGACCUGCAGGCUACUUGGGAUGAUUCAGAUGUUGAGCUGGUGGAACUGAUUUUAUUUGGGCUUGGAAACCACCCUGUGUACAACAAAUGAAGACACUAGAAGUGACUGACAUGAACUGGGGAGCUGACUCAGCAGGAUUUGGAAGACUGAGCUUAGGUGGCUGAAGUCACAGUGGCUUCCUUUCCAGGAGAACCCGCUGAAAGAUGUGGAGACUUCUUAGACUCCAUGAGCUCUGAGCUGUCCAUCAUCAGAAACGCAAAGGCAAGGGCGGGGGGAAAUACCCAGAUAAAUGGAUCAACAUUUCAAUUCUAUGUUCUCGACAUAGAGAUACCGAGCUGGCGGGUUCCCCU